rnacentral:rRNA from 1 species
AUGGAGGAUUCACGCCAUCGUCAAGGUCCUGGACGGAGAUGCUCGCGAGCUGGCUUCUGCUCGCCCGCGACGCACGCAACUCUUCCUCACCCAUCUCUUGCCCAUCAAGGUGCAGGCACAUGGCAGACACCACCAGCGCCCAACCCUAGCCAGCGGAGCGGUGCGACACACACCGGCAUUGAUGCUGGCCGUACCUCGGAGAGGAGACGUUUGGCCUGCUCCUGGUCGACUUCCCAUGUCUGCCCGCCCCUCUGGUAA